rnacentral:lncRNA from 1 species
AGCAAACUAUGGCUUUGAAAUCAAUAGGAACUGUGGUCUCUACAAAUAGAAUUCUUUUCUACAUAAAUUGCAAGAAGUUCUGGCAGCUGCUAGUUCUUACCUCCAUUCAGAGAGUACACCACAUUCACCAUCACUACAUUGGGGCACAAGGACAGCAGCUUCAUCGGAGAGAUGGAGGGAGGCUAGGCCCUCUUUGAUCAACAACAGACUUGCAACAGAGCAUAUCAAGGUACAGCUGUGUUCGGAGUGCAAGGCAAAGGUGGCGGUGGUCAAGUGCAAAGAUUGUUUGCCAAAGCAGUAUACCUGCAUCGACUGUGACUGUGCAAUACACCGUACGCAAACAUUCCACAACAGAAGCACCAUGAUUUUAGGGUUCCACACCACAGUGGUUAAACAGGACUCUGUUGGUCAAUACUUUCACCAUCGUGAAGGUACCGUUUUAUUAUAAUAGUAAUAAUAAUAAUUACAUCCUUAGUAGUCAUCAUAAAUGUCUUUCUUAGGAUAGACACACAAGUCAUUGUCAGACUUCCAUUUUAAUUUGUUAAAGGGUUAGUUCACCCAAAAAUGAAAAUUCUGUCAUUAAUUACUCGCCCUCAUGUCGUUCCAAACCCGCAAGACCUUCGCUCAUCUUCAGAACACUAAUUACCGUAUUGACGCGAAUAUAAGACAAUGUUUUUUUCUUGGAAAUACAUCUGAAAAACCCAGUCGUCUUAUAUUCGGGCUCUAGACUUUAACAUGUCAAUAAUACACCCACAACAGUAGGUGGUGCCAAAUACGCAUAAAACCAGUGUGCCAUGAAAUACGUAAUGUAAUGCGUGUUGUAAAGAUCGUGAGUAAAAACUAAAAACAAAAGAAAAUCUUACAGCUGCAUGAGUCGUGACUCAUUAGCCUGAUGCGACCAAACUCUCUUUGUGAUUUUAAAACGUAACACGGUACCCAGAUUUGAAGACUACAGUAAGAUUUAACUUCUACUGUUAAUAAGAUUGUGGUAGGCUACUAUUAGAUGGAUAGCCUAAAUGUCCUAAUUCAGAUGGGCUACCUGUUUUUUUUAAUGGUAUAUCAAAAAGUGUAUGUUUUUAAAAUGUGAUUGUUGGUACAUUUGACCAGUUUUUACCAUACUUUCAAAACAAAAAUUAAAAUAGGAAAAAUAUGCAAUAUGAAAAUAAUUGAAGACAAAAUGUGUUUUACUGAGAAAAAACAAGAUUUGGUUGGGGGAAAUCAGGGUCACCUUAUAUUCGGGCCAAUACGGUAAGAUAUUUUUGAUGAAAUCCGAGAGCUCUCUGACCCUCCAUAGACAGCAAGGAUAUACAGUGUAUAUAUAUGUGUUCAUUUGUAUUAUUUGUGUUAAAUGGGAAGCAUCAAUCUCUUCUAAAAGUGGCAGGA